ACCGAACUCACCCCCCACACACAGCUGAGGUAUUUACCCACAGGUCAAAAAUGGCUGGAUAUUGUCAGUUUGAUACAGUCUGGCUCUUCCUAUGCAUGGAGCUCCUAUCACAUGCCAGGCACAAUGGGUCCCUAAGGCUGUUCAUUUCCAGUGAGCUAUUUUGGGAGGGCAAUUAUCCUGCGAGCACCUUAUCCCCCUCAAGCACAGUCUAACAAGGCUUCCAGGAGCCAUGAGCCUGGAGUGACCUGUGGAGAGACCAGCAGCAGGGCCACAUGCUCUCUCCUAACCAUCGGACCCAACUUCUGCGGGUUCUGCGAGCCCUUCCAAGGCAAGCUGACACCUUCCUGGCCGCCAGCGUUGAUUGAGGCUGAGCUGAGAGACCCUCUAGAUGAAGGGACCAUCGCAUUUCUGGCUUUGACACCUUGGGCUUCCAGACUCAACCUCAAAAAUCAAUAUUUUAUUUCUGGCUCGUCGCAGAAGUAUCUUGGUGGACCUGCAGGAGUAAGCUUGCCCCUCGGCAUUCUGAGUCAGGGCCUGAAGGCAGGUGGCAAAUGUCCUCCAAAUGGAGGAGGAAUAUUUCAUGGACUCCGCUUCCCUGUCUCCCUCACCCCCUGCUUUGUGCGGGAUCUGAGUUGGCUGCUCUCUUUCCUGCGUAUUUUCCAGGAAGCAGGAUGCAGGUUAUCCUGAGAGGGACUAAGGGACAGUUCAUCCAUUCCAGGCAUCAUGACAAGCACUUUACACGCCUCAUUUAUCCCCACUACAGUCACAGAUGGUACAGACAAGGACUCAUUUUGAAUGUGAG
rnacentral:lncRNA from 1 species